rnacentral:rRNA from 1 species
GUGCUUGCACCGAAAGACGAGUGGCGAACGGGUGCGUAACGCGUAUGCAAUCUGCCUUUUACUAGGGUAUAGCCCAGAGAAAUUUGGAUUAAUCCCCUAUAACAUCAUUUUUCCGCAUGGUUAAAUGAUUAAAGCUUCGGCGGUAAAAGAUGAGCAUGCGUCCUAUUAGUUCGUAGGUGAGGUAACGGCUCACCUAGACUACGAUAGGUAGGGGCCCUGAGAGGGGGACCCCCCACACUGGUACUGAGACACGGACCAGACUCCUACGGGAGGCAGCAGUGAGGAAUAUUGGACAAUGGACGAAAGUCUGAUCCAGCUAUGCCGCGUGCAGGAUGACGGCCCUACGGGUUGUAAACUGCUUUUAUACAGGAAGAAACACCCCGACGUGUCGGGGCUUGACGGUACUGUAAGAAUAAGGAUCGGCUAACUCCGUGCCAGCAGCCGCGGUAAUACGGAGGAUUCCAGCGUUAUCCGGAAUCAUUGG